rnacentral:rRNA from 1 species
GAUGAACGCUGGCGGCGUGCUUAACACAUGCAAGUCGAACGAUGAAGCCCAGCUUGCUGGGUGGAUUAGUGGCGAACGGGUGAGUAACACGUGAGUAACCUGCCCUUGACUCUGGGAUAAGCCUGGGAAACUGGGUCUAAUACUGGAUAUGACUUCUCAUCGCAUGGUGGGGGGUGGAAAGAUUUAUUGGUCUUGGAUGGACUCGCGGCCUAUCAGCUUGUUGGUGAGGUAAUGGCUCACCAAGGCGACGACGGGUAGCCGGCCUGAGAGGGUGACCGGCCACACUGGGACUGAGACACGGCCCAGACUCCGACGGGAGGCAGCAGUGGGGAAUAUUGCACAAGGGGCGCAAGCCUGAUGCAGCGACGCCGCGUGAGGGAUGACGGCCUUCGGGUUGUAAACCUCUUUCAGUAGGGAAGAAGCGAGAGUGACGGUACCUGCAGAAGAAGCGCCGGCUAACUACGUG